rnacentral:rRNA from 1 species
ACCGGAUAGGACGAAAGUUUAAAGGUGCUUCGGCACCACUGAUGGAUGAGCCUGCGGCGCAUUAGCUAGUUGGUAGGGUAAAGGCCUACCAAGGCGACGAUGCGUAGCCGACCUGAGAGGGUGAACGGCCACACUGGGACUGAGACACGGCCCAGACUCCUACGGGAGGCAGCAGUAGGGAAUCUUCGGCAAUGGGCGAAAGCCUGACCGAGCAACGCCGCGUGAAUGAUGAAGGCCUUCGGGUUGUAAAAUUCUGUUAUAAGGGAAGAAUGGCUCUAGUAGGAAAUGGCUAGAGUGUGACGGUACCUUAUGAGAAAGCCACGGCUAACUACGUGCCAGCAGCCGCGGUAAUACGUAGGUGGCGAGCGUUAUCCGGAAUUAUUGGGCGUAAAGAGCGCGCAGGUGGUUGAUUAAGUCUGAUGUGAAAGCCCACGGCUUAACCGUGGAGGGUCAUUGGAAACUGGUCAACUUGAGUGCAGAAGAGGGAAGUGGAAUUCCAUGUGUA